GGUGAUUCCGCUCAACGUCAAUCAUGUAUCUAGUAAAGAUAGGGGCGAGAUAGAUGCAUGUGGCCCUGAUGCAGCAGGCGGGAAGGGGAGAAGUGGAGCUGGUCGAUGGCCAGGAGGACAUGAUCCUUGAUGUCAUGGUGCCUUUUAUAAUCUGGGCAGUUUGGAUAUGUGUUGAGCAAGUGUAGUAGUAGCGUCCUCUUUAAGUGAUGAGUAAACCAACUAACUUCGCCAAGCACCUAGCCGACCCGAAGGUGUGUGCCAUCAUCGCAAAGAUGAUGGUGAAUGUCAACCAUGGGUUCCUGUGAACGUUGAUGGCUUGCUGUAGCCAUGGUGGUUGUGACGCUUGGCCUCGGCUACAACCUACCUGAUACAUGUGGCCCC